rnacentral:rRNA from 1 species
AUACGAAGGGGGCAAGCGUUGUUCGGAAUAACUGGGCGUAAAGCGCACGUAGGCGGAAUGUUAAGUUAGAGGUGAAAUCCCAGGGCUCAACCCUGGAACGGCCUUUAAUACUGGCAAUCUAGAGACCGAGAGAGGUGAGUGGAAUUCCGAGUGUAGAGGUGAAAUUCGUAGAUAUUUGGAGGAACACCAGUGGCGAAGGCGGCUCACUGGCUCGGUACUGACGCUCAGGUGCGAAAGCGUGGGGAGCAAACAGGAUUAGAAACCCCAGUAGUCC